UCUCGCAAUACUUUAUUUAUUUUUAAUGGUCGUUGACGUGCUUCCGGGUCAUCGUACGUGUAAUCGCAGACAACAGUUAUGGAGCGUGUUCAACCGUUCGUGAGUUUAAUAGAAUUUUACUAUGAAAUUGGCUUGAAAUACAAAGACAUUAAAUCUGUUCUUUAUGUUAAGUACGGUUUCCAAAUAAGUGAAAGACAUUUGAAGCGAGUGCUGAACCAAAGAGGACUAUUUCGUCGGAAAACGUUCAAUGACUUGGCAGUCCUGGUUGACUUCAUUCGCAACCAAUUGCAGCAUUCUGGAAAACUACACGGUUACAGGUGGAUGUACAGUAAGUGCAGAGAAUAUGGACUUCUUGUCAGGAAAGAGGACGUUCGUCUGGUCCUGAAAGAGUUGGAUCCGAGAGGAGUGUCGUUAAGGCAAGCAAGACGUCUGAGACGGCGAAACUACUUCUCCAAAGGGCCAAAUUUUAUAUGGCACAUGGACUCCUAUGACAAACUGAAACCAUUUGGAAUUUGUAUCAAUUGGGCUAUUGAUGGUUUUUCAAGGAAAAUAAUGUGGCUCAAUGCCUACAUAAGUAGUGUCCCGAAGUUGAUUGGAGGUUAGUACAUCGACGUUGUGCACCGUUUGGGGGGUUGUCCUCGAAUCAUUCGAGCUGAACUUGGGACUGAAAAUGGUCACGUUAAAGGCUUCCAGCGUUUCCUGGUGCCAAUACCGCCAGGCAGCACUCUUGACAGUUACUUGGAUGGAGCCAGCACCGCCAAUCAAAGAAUUGAAUAUUGGUGGCGGUUUCUUCGCAGCCAGUGCAUGGAGUUCUGGUUAUCCCUCUUCACAGACCUCAGAGACAAUGGCUUCUUUGAUGGUAGAUUUCUGGACAAAAACAUCCUACAAUUUUGUUGUAUGGGACUUAUUCAGGAUGAGUUGGAUGACACGGCCCUAGUUUGGAACAGCCAUCUCAUCAGGCCCUCAAAGAACAUGAAUGUCCCCAGUGGUCGGCCCAACGUGAUGUAUACGUUACCUGAACUUUAUGGUACAAAGGACUUCCUCUCCCCAGUUGACAAUGAACAAGUUCAACUGUGCAAAAGCCAGUGUGUCUUUCGUUUGACCAUGCCUUGUGAUCCAGAUGUAUUUUGCAUUGUGUGCUUUUUUAAUGGCCCAGUCCGAUCUAAUGCCACCAAAAGAUCCAUUUCAGGCUGUGAACUUGUAUUUACACCUCAGAGAGGCCCUCACCGCUACUCUUUAAGAUAAGAUAAGAAAA